CGUGUCUGUAUCACGUGAAAAUUUGAGCCGCGCCCCUUAACGAAGUUGACUUGAAGUUCUAAAGCUGUGACUAUAGACCCUGAUUUGAACUAGCUUCAGAAGAAGGAGGAGCGGGAGCGAAGAACUAUUAUAGACGCCAUUUAAAACAUGGCUGAUAUUGAAAAUGGAGGAGGAGAGAAACCUGAGAAGGAGUCCAUCAUUAUUAAUUCAUUCACCAAGUCAUUUAAGAAGAUACUCGAGAGAGACUUUGAUGAAGAAUUUACCAAGGAUUCUGUUGAUAAAUUGAAAAAGA